rnacentral:rRNA from 1 species
UGGGGAAUAUUGGACAAUGGGCGCAAGCCUGAUCCAGCCAUACCGCGUGGGUGAAGAAGGCCUUCGGGUUGUAAAGCCCUUUUGUUGGGAAAGAAAUCCAGCCGGCUAAUACCUGGUUGGGAUGACGGUACCCAAAGAAUAAGCACCGGCUAACUUCGUGCCAGCAGCCGCGGUAAUACGAAGGGUGCAAGCGUUACUAGGAAUUACUGGGCGUAAAGCGUGCGUAGGUGGUUAUUUAAGUCCGUUGUGAAAGCCCUGGGCUCAACCUGGGAACUGCAGUGGAUACUGGAUGACUAGAAUGUGGUAGAGGGUAGCGGAAUUCCUGGUGUAGCAGUGAAAUGCGUAGAGAUCAGGAGGAACAUCCAUGGCGAAGGCAGCUACCUGGACCAACAUUGACACUGAGGCACGAAAGCGUGGGGAGCAAACA